rnacentral:lncRNA from 1 species
AGGAAAUGCAGCAUGUCUUUUCUUCAUCAGACUAACAGAAAAUGUUACAGGUGUAGGAACUAGCUCCCCCUACCAAGGUUGAAAAGAGGAGGAAAGGCGUGUGCGCAGGUUGGGAAGACAUGCACUGCAGGAACUGGGAAUCCUACUACCUGCAUAUGGGUGCAUCCAGCCCCAGGGCAUCCCAGAGCUGGCUGACCCCCGCCGAGGAGAUCUGCUGAUGGAGUUGGAUUUGUCAACUGAGGGAACCUCACACCCCUGCCGUUUGUUGAGAGGGAAACAUACCUUCCACAAGAUGAUUCUUACUCUGUGAUUUACCGUUGGUCUCAUUCAGCUUCCACGGACCUCAGUAGAAACAGGACCACACCAGCCUUCCCACAAAAUCUGCUUUCUGGCUGCAUUCACAGUUCUAACUUUUAUUAAGUAUUUGUGGGAGCAAUUUUUCACCAGUAAACUCCUGCUAUUCACGUAAGAAAAAAAAAAGGAAGGGAGGUAUGUUUGAAAAAGGAUGAUUUUUUUCUGUUUUUUUUUUUAAAUUUUAAAUCAGGUACCUUUAAACAAAGCAGAGAAUUUCAUAUGCUCCAUUCCAGCUUUCUGAAUCUUUCCAAAAGGUGAUUACGAACACAUUUCUGAGGUUUUUUUCCUCCA